rnacentral:rRNA from 1 species
GGCUCAGUUCAGAUCGUAGGCUGCAACUCGCCUACGUGAAGUAGGAAUCGCUAGUAAUCGCAGGUCAGCAUACUGCGGUGAAUACGUUCCCGGGCCUUGUACACACCGCCCGUCACACCAUGGAAGUUGGCCACGCCCGAAGUCGUUACUUUAACCCUUGUGGAGAAGGACGCCGAAGGUGGGGCUGAUGACUGGGGUGAAGUCGUAACAAGGUAGCCGUACCGGAAGGUGCGGCUGGAUCACCUCCUAA